UCCUAAUUCUGAAGUUAGGGUACGUGCGUAAUUUACUGUGUGUUCUGUGAUGAUGAGUUAAGUGGUCCUAUUUUACAUGUAACUUUUGACAAUCUGUUUGGGUUGAGAAUACAAAUUAAGGCCCCACACCCAACUAAGCUUAGCUCUCUCCCAUUUUUAGCACCCAUCCCGCACCCAACUUUAAAAGCACCCUCAAUUGCCUCUUCUAUUAUAGGAGAGUAGGCUUCAAAGCACACAAGAAUAUGAUAAGAUGAAGAAGUUCAGUGUCUCAAAAUUCACCACUUCUCUUAAAACCUCCCUCAUUUGUUUUUUCACACUUUCCUUUCCCUCACCACUCUCUCUAUUACCUCUUGUUUGUUGUUAAGAGUACUCAGAAGAAUAACUCCUCCAACCCACUUAGCAUGUGGCAAAGGUGCAUGCUGAGCAAGAUGGAGAAGCAGGGCACGUGCAAUUCUAACUCAUGAAACCAUAGAAUCAUCUUGUUUUUUCUUCUUUUCACUCUAACCAAAUAGAUUCCUCUACCUGCAGUGAGUUAGUCCUUCAUGUGCCCCCCUUCCCCAUCAUGACGGCAGCACCUUAAAUAUAAAAAUGCUGAAAAUGGGUUUUGAUUGUGGCUCCACCCACCACUUUGAUUUCAAGGGGAUCAUCGUGAUACCGACUGAAAGGAAGCCUUUGAACAGAGCAGCACGAGAAGGAGAAGGUAUUUUGUCUCUUUUAUUACUAUGGCAUGCGUUAUGUAUAUUAUAUAGGAAACGGAGAAAGAAAUAAAAGAUACCAUUCUCUAGUC